rnacentral:rRNA from 1 species
UUCCUUGUCGGGUAAGUUCCGACCUGCACGAAUGGCGUAACGAUGGCCACACUGUCUCCUCCUGAGACUCAGCGAAGUUGAAGUGUUUUGUGAAGAUGCAAUCUCCCCCGCGGCUAGACGGAAAGACCCCAUGAACCUUUUACUGUAGCUUUGCAUUGGACUUUGACGGGACUUGUGUAGGAUAGGUGGGAGGCGCUGAGACCAGGACGCUAGUUCUGGUGGAGCCGUCCUUGAAAUACCACCCUGGUGUCGUUGAGGUUCUAACCUAGGUCCAUCAUCUGGAUCGGGGACCGUGCAUGGUAGGCAGUUUGACUGGGGCGGUCUCCUCCCAAAAGGUAACGGAGGAGUACGAAGGUCUUCUAGGUACGGUCGGACAUCGUACUGAUAGUGCAAUGGCAAAAGAAGGCUUGACUGCGAGACCGACAAGUCGAGCAGGUGCGAAAGCAGGUCAUAGUGAUCCGGUGGUUCUGUAUGGAAGGGCCAUCGCUCAACGGAC